rnacentral:rRNA from 1 species
CGUAACGCGUAUGCAACCUGCCUGACACAGGGGGAUAAUCCGAAGAAAUUUGGUCUAAUACCCCAUAAUACCGAUAUAGGCAUCUAUGUUGGUUGAAAGCUUUGGUGGUGUCAGAUGGGCAUGCGUUGUAUUAGCUAGUUGGUGAGGUAACGGCUCACCAAGGCGACGAUACAUAGGGGGACUGAGAGGUUAACCCCCCACCACUGGUACUGAGACACGGACCAGACUCCUACGGGAGGCAGCAUG